rnacentral:rRNA from 1 species
GUGGGGAAUAUUGGGCAAUGGGGGAAACCCUGACCCAGCGACGCCGCGUGAGGGAAGAAGGCCUUAGGGUCGUAAACCUCUGUUGUGUGGGAAGAAGAGCGUGACGGUACCACACGAGGAAGUCCCGGCUAACUACGUGCAAGCAGCCGCGGUAAUACGUAGGGGACGAGCGUUGUCCGGAUUUACUGGGCGUAAAGGGCGCGUAGGCGGUCAUUUAAGUCAGCUGUGAAAUGGUGCGGCUUAACCGCAUCAUGCGGUUGAAACUGGAUGACUGGAGUGCUGGAGAGGGAAGUGGAAUUCCCAGUGUAGCGGUGAAAUGCGUAGAUAUUGGGAAGAACACCGGUGGCGAAGGCGACUUGCUGGCCAGCAACUGACGCUGAGGCGCGAAAGCCAGGGGAGCAAACGGGAUUAGAAACCCGUGUAGUCC